rnacentral:lncRNA from 1 species
UUUGACAAUAGUUAAUCUUGCUUCUACGUAUCCCUAUAUAUAAUAGGAAAUCGAGACUUAAUGGUUUUGGUUUUAGAUUAGUUAGUUUGAUUGCUUUGGUUUUAGAAAUUCAUUGAAGGGGAAUUAGUAGACGAAGAGUCAACAUUGCUCAUUUACCCCUUCCUCUUUGAAAAAUAGUAGAGGCAGUACUAAUUACUGCAACCGCUUCUGGCUCGAAGUGAAAAAUAAUAUGCGACCUUAACCGUAACAUCGCUAUCAAAAUCCAAUUGAAACAUUUAUUUAUUGAAUUAAUUUUUUUAUAAAUUUGAUUGAG